GUGAAGGGUUGUUGUUGUCGUCUCCAUGUGUCCCUGUGAUGGACUGGAUGCAUGCCCAGGGUAUCCCCCACCUCUCACACAGUGACUGUUGGAGACAGACACCAGCACCCUUUGACCAGAAAAUGAAAAAUUUCCGUGUUGGUGUUGGAGCAGAUCUCGAAACCAGCAUUCCAGCUGCCUGCAAGGCUCUCAGGAGCUGAGUACCAUGAGGCACACCUCCAGGUGGAUUUGUUGUGCAGAGGGGUUCCAUAGGUGGCCUGGGGCUCCAGCAGCAGCUGUCUGGGUGGUAACAGAGUUACACCAACGGCCUGACAUCACAUGAGCCCCACAGCUUCCAGCGAGCGGAUGACACCCAAUCCACACCCUGAAGAGUCAAUAUUACCACAACUGUCAAACAAGCUCAGGAAGCUGCAGGUUUGUGUGCAUCGAGGUGCCGAGGAAACUCAAUCCAUCAGGGCGAGGCGAGUCGGGUGGGCCUGUGGUGUCUGACAAUAUCCAGACACCUUCCUGACAGCUUCAGAUUUACAACCGACAUGAAGCGGUCCCCUCAAAAACACUCUGAAACUAAGGCAAGACGAGAAACAUCAAAAGUUGCAAAAGUUGCAAAAGUUCUUUCCCGUUUGAAACUGAACUGAAAAUUAAAAAGUCAUCCCAGUUUUAAAUGUAAAA